rnacentral:rRNA from 1 species
UGUCCCUACGGGAGGCAGCAGUGAGGAAUAUUGGUCAAUAGGCGCAAGCCUGAACCAGCCAAGUCGCGUGAGGGAAGACGGCCCUACGGGUUGUAAACCUCUUUUGCCGGGGAGCAAGCCUGAGCACGUGUGCCCAGGCGGAGAGUACCCGGAGAAAAAGCAUCGGCUAACUCCGUGCCAGCAGCCGCGGUAAUACGGAGGAUGCGAGCGUUAUCCGGGUUUAUUGGGUUUAAAGGGAGCGUAGAUGGGUUGUUAAGUCAGUUGUGAAAGUUUGCGGCUCAACCGUAAAAUAGCAAUUGAUACUG